GACGAACGCUGGCGGCGUGCUUAACACAUGCAAGUCGAACGGAAAGGCCCUGCUUUUUUGGGGUGCUCGAGUGGCGAACGGGUGAGUAACACGUGAGUAACCUGCCCUUCACUUUGGGAUAACUUCAGGAAACUGGGGCUACUAUCGGACAGGAGCUCCUGUUCCAUUGUGGGGGUUGGAAAGUUUCGGCGGUCGGGGAUGGACUGGCGGGUUAUCAGCUUGUUGGUGGGGUAGGGGCUUACCAAGGGUUUGACGGGUAGCCGGCCUGGGAGGGUGGACGGCGACAUUGGGACUGAGAGAGGGCCCAGACUCCUACGGGAGGCAACGGUGGGGAGUAUUACACAGUGGGCGGGAGCCUGAUGCAGCGACGCCGCGUGCGGGAUGACGGCCUUCGGGUUGUAAACCGCUGUCGCCUGUGACGAAGCGGGAGUGACGGUAAUGAAUAAAUAAGCACCGGCUAACUACGUG
rnacentral:rRNA from 1 species